CUUGAAAAAAUGAAAGACAAACCAGAAACUAAAACAAAUUGGUUUGCUCAGUUUUAAUCACUAUAUAAUACAACAGUAUUCCAGAUAUUUCAAGAUUUUAUUUUAGCUGUUUCCUUAUUUAUUUUUAAAUUUUAACUGACUGGAUCUUUGUUAAUAAUUGGCGCUGAAGUCUAGCUAGUAAAAUGAAAAGGUAAACCCUCCAAAGAGGAUUACGUCAAUGAUGAAGGAGCAGUCCACGAUAUUCUGAAGGUACUUCAGGCUAUUAAUCUUUUACAAGUCUGAUGUUAUAGUGGGCAAACAUGGACACUAUAUUCCAGACAGGGAAAUCAAGCAGACAAGUCCUAACCGUGUUGCCCCAGGCCAACCAUUAAAUCAUGGGAAGAGCAGAGCUUCAACUUAAGACUGACACCUUAACUUAAAUAAAAACUAAACAGUUCUUCAGGAGAAUGAGAAAAUUGAUCAUAUUUGAUGAAUCUUAGAACUUCAACAAGGUGAAGACAAAGCAGAAGCUUUACUUCUUGGAGGCAGAAAUACAGAAGCAUGGAUAAGGAUGAUACUUAACUACACAGACGGACCUGGAGAACAUUAUGCUCCGUGAAAGACCUUGAAUACGUCUAAAGAAAAAGAAGUUUAAAACAAUUCUCACUGUUGCAUGAGGUGACAAAACGACCACUAAAAGAGCAUGCCAAAAGGUAUGGUUGCUCAUCUGGCCUUGGCCAACUAUCUGGCAAACAGUCUGGAAGGUGCUGCACCACCACUGCUAGAGGAACACAGAAAAGCAAAAUCUCCUAGCGUGUGGAUAUGUGGCGAUCAUGAGGAUCGCUUGUUUAGGAUUGAUUGCCAAGAGCGGUUUCAACAUGUACCUGAAGAGCUGUAUCCGAAAUCCAGUGAGGAGGCAAAGAUGCCCAGGAAUCAGAGGGAAAAAGGAAUAGACUCCUUUGGAAGUGAAACACAUAAAAUCCAGAUGUGAUAUUUAGCUAAGACAUACUAAAUUCACAAUGAGAGCUGAGAUCGUGUCUACUCUGUCCAUGAUGGCAUCUUGGGACCAAGUAUAAUAAUAACUGGCUAAUAGAGCGUAUAUAUUUGCU
rnacentral:lncRNA from 1 species